rnacentral:rRNA from 1 species
AACGUAGGGGACAAGCGUUAUCCGGAUUUACUGGGCGUAAAGCGCCCGUAGGCGGCUUAACAAGUUGGAUGUGAAAGCUCCCGGCUUAACUGGGAGAGGUCAUUCAAAACUGUUAGGCUAGAGGAUGGAAGAGGAGAGUGGAAUUCCUGGUGUAGCGGUGAAAUGCGCAGAUAUCAGGAAGAACACCCGUGGCGAAAGCGGCUCUCUGGAACGGUACUGACGCUGAGACGCGAAAGCGUGGGGAGCGAACAGG